CAAAUUUUUCUGAUUUUGUUAUUCAAACUCCUAUUCGCCAAAAUAUUCAGGGAAGAGCUGGUAAAUUUCAGGUGUUAAAUGAACCUUCUUCUCGUACACCGAUAGAUAGAUUUUUUGCUAAGGCACUUAAAACUGAGAGAGAAUCGAUUAAAAAAGUGUCUUCACGCUUGUCCUCAUCUUCCUCCCUCUCUUCCUCCUCUUCCCUCUCUUCUUCUAUUGGAGAAGAACAACAACAAUCACAAGAAGAAGAAGAAGGAAAAGAAGAAAAAAGAUUGAGAAACUGCGAAAUUCAAUUUUGGAAGACACUGCCCUUCUCUCAACCUGUUUAUGGC
rnacentral:ribozyme from 1 species